ACAAGCUUACGUUUUCUCUUGUUAUUGAGAAGCUGGAGAGUGAGAGAGACCUGUAAACAUUGGACAUCUCUUCCACAAGACACCAAGAGGGGGCGCCCUUGUCCCCUCCUCGCAGGGCAGCUGGAGAUCCCCGUGCCGUGAGGAGGCGCCGCACAGACGUGAUGACAUCCGCCCGGUAUUCCUGGACCGUGAGCGCCGUCAUCUCACAAAACAGAGGACAGCAGAGCCAACGCGCUAUACUAUAUGUAUAUAUACUAUACUAUAUGCUAUAUGUACUGUAAUAUUGCUGCCAGCUAGAAAAGGCGUUCGCCAUACUGCGAGGUGUAAGAAAAAAAACCGUUUUCCCAAAGCCGCAGUUGAGAGCGGGAGAUUGAGUGAGCACGGAACUGCUGCAAAGCUAAGCAGUGAAUUUGACUUCUUGUAUCUGGGCGUCGACGCAAGAGCAAUAGAGGUGUCAUUCUUUUAUUCCCACAGCGAUUAACCCGCUCUGUUUGGACAAGUGACUGUCUAUUUCACUGUACCUUUAUUUUCUUUCUUUCCGCCGGGACAGCCGAGCACAGCGGGGGGGGGUGUGUCCCGGCGCAGCCCCGCCCCUCCUCUCACGCACGCGCCCCAACAAUGGGACCCCGUUGCCAAGGCGACCGCUGUCCAGCUCCGCCGCAGACGCGAGUUUCUAGCGAUUCUCUCUCUCUCGUUCCUGUUCCGUGCGCAGCAGGACGGCAUCUUCGCAGAUUGCUCCGCAGGGGCAGAGCAGAGGAACCGGACAUGCGACUCCCUGGGGUGUCGCUGCCCAGCACGCCGGUGUCCGCCGGGAUGGCCCGAGCGGCGGCCCCCGCCCGGAGGAGGUACCUGGUCACCCCGCUGGCGCUGCCCGCCGUGAGCCCGGCCGCCGUCCCGCUGUCCGUGAGCCAGUGCCCCACCCGCAUCAACCCCCUGCACCCCCCCUCGGGCAGGAGGCGCACCGUCAGCCUGGAGACGCUGGCAGCGCACCACCACAACCAGCAGAGGGUGCUGGUGAUGCAGCAGAAAGAGUACUUCAGGUUUCACCAGGCUUGGCAGAGGCCGUUCUACGGCUGCCGCGCAGACAAGGAGGAGUACAGGCAGGAAGUGCGCGAGCUGCUGCAGAGGCAGAUGCUGGAGAAGUGGGAGAGGCAGAGGCAGCUGCUGGCCAGCCAGACGCGCGAGCUCGAGGCGCUGCGCGAGGCGGACCGCCUGGCCCUGACCCGCGAGACGCAGGAGAACCAGAACCGAGCCCGAGCACUGAGCCACUACAGGGAUGAGAACAAGAGGAUGAUGGAGCAGGGCUGGAGGGAGCGUGCUCUGUCCCGUUCUCUGGAGGUGCUGAGAGACAGAGAGCUGCUGCAGUACAACCCCAUCAACUGGAGUGGCACGCUCAAAUAGACACUGGAGCAACACAGGCCAGUCCAAUAGAUACCGGAGCAACACAGGCCAGUCCAACAGAUACCGGAGCAACACAGGCCAGUCCAACAGACACCAGAGCAACACAGCCCAGUCCAGUAGAUACCGGAGCAACACAGCCCAGUCCAACAGAUACCGGAGCAACACAGCCCAGUCCAACAGACAUCAGGGCAACACAGGCCAGUCCAGUAGAUACAGGAGCAACACAGGCCAGUCCAAUAGAUUUGUUUCCAUAACUUUUUAUUUCUUUAUUUGGUUUGUAUGUAUUAAGACCUGUUUAAAUAAAAAUUAAAAAAACAUCAGAAACUCCAAAGGACGUUUUAAAUAAAUAUUUGUAAAGAAGUGCAAAUCCUGAUUUUCCAGACGCCUCCAAUAGACCACGGUGUGGGUUCCCAGCAGUGGAGGGCAGCCGACAGCAGGGGAGGGGGGGCUCAGCUCACUCCUGGCCACAGGACGAGCAAGAGACUGGGCAGCAUAGAUCCGUGUCCCCUUGUGGGUGAGCAGCGGGCCACAGGCACUGGGAAGCCGUCAGGAGGCUCAAGGGCUGCCCACCACUGGCCUGGAGAAGCGCAGGUCGUUCGGUCCCGUCAGCGCAGACAGUGUGGUGUGGAAACAUGAGACGUCCACACGGGCGCGAGAGCGCAGCUGGCAGGGACACAGCGACCGCCCUGUCCUCCCCUCAUGGGGACACCCAGGGCACCGGCCCCACAGGGGGCCCUUCUUAACUGACCAGGGAAGAUCAGAACCAGACGAGGAAACAACAGAUAAAAAAAAUGGCAGGAUGUGUUUCUCUCUGCCCCUCCUUCAGUUCGAACCCUGGGCUGUUUUCUUUCUUACUGCCUAGACCGGGCCUGGGUUCUGGUGCCAGAGUGUUU
rnacentral:lncRNA from 1 species